GCGGGAGUUCUCCUGGGAGAGGACUCAGCCUUCCAAGCUGAUGGAGACGGUUCAAAUCCGUUCUCCCGCUCCA
rnacentral:tRNA from 1 species